rnacentral:rRNA from 1 species
UACAGAGGGGGCAAGCGUUGUUCGGAAUUACUGGGCGUAAAGGGCGCGUAGGCGGCUCUGUAAGUCACUUGUGAAAUCUCCGGGCUUAACUCGGAACGGCCAAGUGAUACUGCAGUGCUAGAGUGCAGAAGGGGCAAUCGGAAUUCUUGGUGUAGCGGUGAAAUGCGUAGAUAUCAAGAGGAACACCUGAGGUGAAGACGGGUUGCUGGGCUGACACUGACGCUGAGGCGCGAAAGCCAGGGGAGCAAACGGG